CAACAACACCGGAUCCAAGCUGCAUCUGCACACUACACUACAGCUCAUGGCAACACUGGGUCCUCAACCCACUGAGUGAGGCCAGGGAUCGAACCCUCAUCCUCUGGAUACGAGUCAGGUUCAUUACUGCUGAGCCAUGAGAGCAGCUCCUUCAUCCCUUUGCUUUUUGUAAAAGAAGCCACGUCAUUGGUUUUGCAGAUUCACCCUNAAUUUCUGGAAUUUACUGGUGGACUCUCCAUCAUCAAAGUGAUUCAAAUAUCUCUGUGAGGUUUGGAUUCCUUGUAAACGGGUGGGUAGAGAAGCGUGUCAGACUCCGGGUUUUUAGUUUGACUCUGAAGGGUCUUUGUUGGAGGCGGCGCUCUGUAUCCCUGUCUGGGGGAGGGAAUCUGUCUGCAGAGAGCAGCUGGCUGACUGUCCUUGCUGAGACUCAUUAGGCGGCACAGCAGUAACAUUUCUAUUCUUUUAUUCCUUCAAGUGUCUCAUAGGCUGAAACCCUGGGAAUCAUGCUUGUGGGAGCACAGGGUAUAAAGCGAGAAUCACAAAGGUCAUGUGUGUGACGAAUGCUCAGAUCGGGAGCACGUCCGCUGGCUGCUGCUCUGCUGUCUCUGUCCACUAAGCUUUAAACGAUGUGCUGUCACUCUGCCGCCUGCUCUAACGGCUUAUCCUCCUCCACUACCCUCACCUCUCAGGGAGAAUGGAAAUUAGCUCCAUUUUUAUCCUUGACCUUGAAUCAUCUGAUGCUGCUCCCAUAAAUCUGGGUCUGGGUGAAUCUCGGCCCCACAGCUCAGUAGCUCUGACCUUGGCAGCUCUUCCAACCCUGAGUCACCUCGUGGGAAGGUGUGGCCGAGCAUCCUCUGCAAGGCCACCCAGGGCUGCGCCGGACGACGCUUAUCAGCACUGCCGCCCUGCCAGCUGGGCACGCGGGCCGCAUUCCCGUCCUGCGCUGGAAGCGGGGUGCACUCAGGUGUAUGAGGGCCUAGAAUAAACGGGUGAAGAAUCGAAUCGCUGUCUCUAUAGUCCUCCAGUAGGUUAUUGGGACUCACUGAUGACUCAAAAAAGUGCUAAUUUUUUUUCUUUUUAGGCCGUGCCUGCGGCGUAUGGGAGUUCCCAGGCUAGAGGUCGAAUCCGAGCUGCAGCUGCCGGCCUAUGGCACAGCCUCAACCACACCGGAUCUGAGCUGCCUCUGCAACCUAUGGUGCAACCUGCAACGGCGGCUUAACCCACUGAGCAAGGCCAGGGGUCGAACCCGCCAUCCUCUCGGACACUAUGUAGAGUUCUUAACCCACUGAGCCACAACGGGAAUUCCAAAUUUUAUUUUUAUUUAUAUUUAUUUUAUGGUUGAUUUAUAUUAGAGUGUACAACAGUGAUUCAGUAUUUUUUAGAUUAUAUUCCACUUAAAGUU
rnacentral:lncRNA from 1 species